rnacentral:rRNA from 1 species
CCCUUAGAUGUUCUGGGCCGCACGCGCGCUACACUGACGAAUGCAACGAGCUUAUAACCUUGGCCGAAAGGUCUGGGUAAUCUCCAAAUUUCGUCGUGAUGGGGAUAGAUUAUUGCAAUUAUUAAUCUUCAACGAGGAAUGCCUAGUAAGCGCAAGUCAUCAGCUUGCGUUGAUUACGUCCCUGCCCUUUGUACACACCGCCCGUCGCUCCUACCGAUUGAAUGGUCCGGUGAAGCGUUCGGACCGUGGCUUUCUGACGGUCCGCCGUCGGAUUGCCGUGGGAAGUUCGUUAAACCUUAUCAUUUAGAGGAAGGAGAAGUCGUAACA